rnacentral:snRNA from 1 species
AGGUUAGUACCCUGUGACGGAAACGAUUCGUUUCCUCUAUGUAUUAAUCGGAUUUUUGAACUUGGAGUACGGUGCUGGAGCUUGCUCCACCCUGCUCAUGGGUUGUCCUGGUAUUGCAUUGCCUCCAGGUUCGGCUCACGUUUC